rnacentral:rRNA from 1 species
UUCGGGAGGACGCUCACCACUUUGUGGUUCAUGACUGGGGUGAAGUCGUAACAAGGUAGCCCUAGGGGAACCUGGGGCUGGAUCACCUCCUUAUACGAUGAU